GCCCGCCUAGCUCAAUCGGAUAGAGCGUCAGACUCUUACAAGAGAGGCGGGAUACAGAACCACUUCGAAGGUAUCUGAAGGCUGCGAGUUCGACCCUCGCGGUGGGCU